UGGCCGUGGUCCAGAGAGAUGUAGGCGGCUCCGCCCACGCACGGGCACAACCCUGUGGAUGGAUGGAGACCAUCACAGAAAAUCACAACCAAUCGAAAAGCUGAGUUGUGGAGCCUGGUUCCAGCUGAUAGACUGCAACACAACCCCUGUUCCUAAGGCUCCAGGGUAACUGUGGAAGUGGGGGAGGAAAGACUAUGAGAGCCAGAGGACCAGGACGUUUGCUGUGAGGUUGUGUCUCCUAGGAAUGUCUGAAGCUACACCCUGGAAGUCUCCGAAACAUGACUGCCGAAACAUGACGUGAACAGGGAUGACAUCAGGUCAUGCUGACAUGGAUGGGGACUCAAGGGGCCUCGGCUGUACACGAAACUCUAGGCAACUAAAAAAUGCUGAGAGUGGGAGAAGCACUCUUCCCUAGGGAAGAGCACCAGUUACUCAUCCAGUACCAAAUGGUCAGCCCUGAAAAAUGGACACACAAGUAACAUUAUUCAGACUGAGAAAAUUUUAUUAAUGCAUUUAGGGAUAUAUGUUUGACAAUUAAUUUAAAAACAGGCCACAAAUUUGAAAGAGAACAAGGAAAAGUAUAUGGGAGGGAGGAGAGAAAAGGGAGAAAUCAUGUAAUUAUAAUCUCAAAAAACAAUUUUUAAAAAUGUAAACCUGGAAAUACAACCUUCCCUAUUUUGAAAAUAAGACAAGAGACAUUGAGAAGAAUUUAAUUUUUUUGCCGUUUCGAUCGAAUCUAGAACACAGAUUUCCUGCCUCUCGGCCCUGGCUGUUGUGCCCCACUGUCUUUCAAGAUUGCUUUUGGCAACAGGAAGCCACUGUGGAUUUGGAAGCCAGAAAAUGCUUUAGAAACGUCAGCAGGGAGUGGGGUUGUGGUAGUUUAUGCCUGUAAUCCCAGCACUCAGGAGGCCGAGGCAAGAAGAUUUGAAUCUGAGACUAGCCUAGGCUGUAUGGUGGGACCUUGUCUCGGAAAAAAAACAAUGUGUUGGAUUUUUUUUCCCAAUUGCCAUGACAAAUACCCAACAGAAAUAAAGGGAAAACAAUAAUUAUUUUA